rnacentral:piRNA from 1 species
UGAAGCAAGGUUGACAAGUCUUGAAGGUC